rnacentral:sRNA from 1 species
UCACUUAAUAUGCAUAACCGCGGUCCUAC